GUGAGGAUGUUCCAUUUCCCCUACUUUCUCGGCAUCCCAAAAGAUGACUUAUUGGAGCUCACAAUUUCCUUUUUUUGGG
rfam:Sus scrofa isolate TJ Tabasco breed Duroc chromosome 13, whole genome shotgun sequence.